GAUCAUGGCUCAGAUUGAACGCUGGCGGCAGGCCUAACACAUGCAAGUCGAGCGGUAGCACAGGAGAGCUUGCUCUCCGGGUGACGAGCGGCGGACGGGUGAGUAAUGUCUGGGAAACUGCCUGAUGGAGGGGGAUAACUACUGGAAACGGUAGCUAAUACCGCAUAACGUCUUCGGACCAAAGUGGGGGACCUUCGGGCCUCACGCCAUCAGAUGUGCCCAGAUGGGAUUAGCUAGUAGGUGGGGUAAUGGCUCACCUAGGCGACGAUCCCUAGCUGGUCUGAGAGGAUGACCAGCCACACUGGAACUGAGACACGGUCCAGACUCCUACGGGAGGCAGCAGUGGGGAAUAUUGCACAAUGGGCGCAAGCCUGAUGCAGCCAUGCCGCGUGUGUGAAGAAGGCCUUCGGGUUGUAAAGCACUUUCAGCGAGGAGGAAGGGUAGUGUGUUAAUAGCACAUUGCAUUGACGUUACUCGCAGAAGAAGCACCGGCUAACUCCGUGCCAGCAGCCGCGGUAAUACGGAGGGUGCAAGCGUUAAUCGGAAUUACUGGGCGUAAAGCGCACGCAGGCGGUUUGUUAAGUCAGAUGUGAAAUCCCCGCGCUUAACGUGGGAACUGCAUUUGAAACUGGCAAGCUAGAGUCUUGUAGAGGGGGGUAGAAUUCCAGGUGUAGCGGUGAAAUGCGUAGAGAUCUGGAGGAAUACCGGUGGCGAAGGCGGCCCCCUGGACAAAGACUGACGCUCAGGUGCGAAAGCGUGGGGAGCAAACAGGAUUAGAUACCCUGGUAGUCCACGCUGUAAACGAUGUCGACUUGGAGGUUGUGCCCUUGAGGCGUGGCUUCCGGAGCUAACGCGUUAAGUCGACCGCCUGGGGAGUACGGCCGCAAGGUUAAAACUCAAAUGAAUUGACGGGGGCCCGCACAAGCGGUGGAGCAUGUGGUUUAAUUCGAUGCAACGCGAAGAACCUUACCUACUCUUGACAUCCAGAGAAUUCGCUAGAGAUAGCUUAGUGCCUUCGGGAACUCUGAGACAGGUGCUGCAUGGCUGUCGUCAGCUCGUGUUGUGAAAUGUUGGGUUAAGUCCCGCAACGAGCGCAACCCUUAUCCUUUGUUGCCAGCGCGUAAUGGCGGGAACUCAAAGGAGACUGCCGGUGAUAAACCGGAGGAAGGUGGGGAUGACGUCAAGUCAUCAUGGCCCUUACGAGUAGGGCUACACACGUGCUACAAUGGCGUAUACAAAGAGAAGCGAACUCGCGAGAGCCAGCGGACCUCAUAAAGUACGUCGUAGUCCGGAUCGGAGUCUGCAACUCGACUCCGUGAAGUCGGAAUCGCUAGUAAUCGUAGAUCAGAAUGCUACGGUGAAUACGUUCCCGGGCCUUGUACACACCGCCCGUCACACCAUGGGAGUGGGUUGCAAAAGAAGUAGGUAGCUUAACCUUCGGGAGGGCGCUUACCACUUUGUGAUUCAUGACUGGGGUGAAGUCGUAACAAGGUAACC
rnacentral:rRNA from 1 species